GCCGACAUAGCUCAGCUGGUAGAGCAUUGCCAUGGUAAGGCAAAGGUCCCCGGUUCAAUCCCGGGUGUCGGCU
rnacentral:tRNA from 4 species